AGAAUGAUAGCUCAGUGGUAGAGCCAUCGACUGUAGUUCUAUAGGUCAUGGCCCAUUCGUUUCU
rnacentral:tRNA from 1 species